AUUGAACGCUGGCGGCAGGCCUAACACAUGCAAGUCGAGCGGAUGAAGGGAGCUUGCUCCUGGAUUCAGCGGCGGACGGGUGAGUAAUGCCUAGGAAUCUGCCUGGUAGUGGGGGAUAACGUCCGGAAACGGGCGCUAAUACCGCAUACGUCCUGAGGGAGAAAGUGGGGGAUCUUCGGACCUCACGCUAUCAGAUGAGCCUAGGUCGGAUUAGCUAGUUGGUGGGGUAAAGGCCUACCAAGGCGACGAUCCGUAACUGGUCUGAGAGGAUGAUCAGUCACACUAGAACUGAGACACGGUCCAGACUCCUACGGGAGGCAGCAGUGGGGAAUAUUAGACGAUAGGCGAAAGCCUGAUCCAGCCAUGCCGCGUGUGUGAAGAAGGUCUUCGGAUUGUAAAGCACUUUAAGUUGGGAGGAAGGGCAGUAUGUUAAUACCGUGCUGUUUUGACGUUACCAACAGAAUAAGCACCGGCUAACUUCGUG
rnacentral:rRNA from 1 species